rnacentral:rRNA from 1 species
UACGAGGGGUGCGAGCGUUGCUCGGAAUUAUUGGGCGUAAAGGGUAGGUAGGUGGUUUCAUUUGUCUGGGGUGAAAGCCUUGGGCUUAACUCAAGAAGUGCCCCGGAAACGGUGAAACUCGAGUACUGGAGAGGGUCGUGGAAUUCCCGGUGUAGCGGUGAAAUGCGUAGAGAUCGGGAGGAACACCAGAGGCGAAGGCGGCGACCUGGACAGUUACUGACACUCAACUACGAAAAGCGUGGGGAGCAAACAGGG